rnacentral:rRNA from 1 species
UACGUAGGGGGCAAGCGUUGUCCGGAAUCAUUGGGCGUAAAGCGCGUGUAGGCGGCCCGAUAAGUCCGCUGUGAAAAGUCCAGGGCUCAACCCUGGAAUGCCGGUGGAUACUGUCGGGCUCGAGUCCGGAAGAGGCGAGUGGAAUUCCUGGUGUAGCGGUGAAAUGCGCAGAUAUCAGGAGGAACACCGAUGGCGAAGGCAGCUCGCUGGGACGGUACUGACGCUGAGGAGCGAAAGCGUGGGUAGCAAACAGG